CACAGCCUCAGAAACAACUCUGACAUUAUCAUCAAAGGAGUUGACAAAGGAGGUGCUGUAGUCAUAAUGAACAGGUCAGAUUAUGAACAGGAGGCUGCCAGACAACUCUCCAAGACCACAUUCUACAGGCCACUAUCCUCUGAUCCCACUGAGGAAUACCAAAAGAAAUUACACCAUCUGCUCAAGAAAUUCCUGGCUACAGUACGGGAACAAAUCUACAUGGACACACCCCCAGAACCCCGACCAGGGGUAUUCUAUCUGCUACCCAAGAUCCAUAAACCCGGAAACCCUGGACGCCCCAUCAUCUCAGGCAUUGGCACUCUUACAGCAGGAUUAUCUGGCUAUUUGGACUCUCUCCUCAGACCCUACGCUACCAGCACUCCCAGCUAUCUUCGAGACACCGCCGACUUCCUGAGGAAACUACAAUGCAUUGGUGUUCUUCCUGAAAACACCAUCCUGACCACCAUGGAUGUAGAAGCACUUUACACCAAUAUUCUACAUGAGGAUGGACUACAAGCUGUCAGGAACAGUAUCCCUGAUGAGGCCACAGCAAGCCUGGUGGCUGAGCUUUGUGACUUUGUCCUCACCCACAACCACUUCAGAUGUGGGGACAAUUUAUACCUUCAAGUCAGUGGCACUGUUAUGGGUACCCGCAUGGCCCCACAAUAUGCCAACAUUUUUAUGGCUGACUUAGAAAAACGCUUCCUCAGCUCUCGUUCCCUAGUGCCCCUCCUCUACUUGCACUGCAUUGAUGACAUCUUCAUCAUAUGGACCCACGGAAAGGAAGCCCUUGAAGAAUUCUACCUGGACUUCAACAAUUUCCAUCCCACCAUCAACCUCAGCCUGGACCAGUCCACAUAAGAGAUCUACUUCCUGGACACUACAGUGCAAAUAAGUGAUGGUCACAUAAACACCACCCUAUACCGGAAACCUACUGACCGCUAUACGUACCUACAUGCCUCCAGCUUCCAUCCAAGACACAUCACACGAUCCAUUGUCUACAGCCAAGCCCUAAAAUACAACCGAAUUUGCUCCAACCCCUCAGACAGAGACAAACACCUACAAGAUCUUUAUCAAGAAUUCUUAAAACUACAAUACCCACCUGGGGAAGUGAGGAAACAGAUUGACAGAGCAAGACGGGUACCCAGAAAUCACCUACUGCAGGACA
rnacentral:lncRNA from 1 species